UACAGAGGGUGCAAGCGUUAUUCGGAAUUACUGGGCGUAAAGCGUGCGUAGACGGUUAUUUAAGUCGGGUGUGAAAGCCCCGGGCUCAACCUGGGAAUUGCAUUCGAGACUGAAUAGCUAGGGUGCGGAAGAGGGAAGCGGAAUUUCCGGUGUAGCGGUGGAAUGCGUAGAUAUCGGAAGGAACACCAGUGGCGAAAGCGGCUUCCUGGUCCAGCACCGACGUUCAGGCACGAAAGCGUGGGGAGCAAACAGG
rnacentral:rRNA from 1 species